rnacentral:rRNA from 1 species
AUUGAACGCUGGCGGCAGGCCUAACACAUGCAAGUCGAACGAGUGGCGGACGGGUGAGUAAUGUCUGGGAAACUGCCUGAUGGAGGGGGAUAACUACUGGAAACGGUAGCUAAUACCGCAUACCAUCGGAUGUGCCCAGUUUGGAUUAGCUAGUAGGUGGGGUAACGGCUCACCGAGGCGACGAUCCCUAGCUGGGUUGAGAGGAUGACCAGCCACACUGGAACUGAGACACGGUCCAGACUCCUACGGGAGGCAGCAGUGGGGAAUAUUGCACAAUGGGCGCAAGCCUGAUGCAGCAAUGCCGCGUGUAUGAAGAAGGCCUUCGGGUUGUAAAGUACUUUCAGCGGGGAGGCGUUACCCGAAGAAGAAGCACCGGCUAACUCCGUGCCAGCAGCCGCGGUAAUUC